rnacentral:rRNA from 1 species
AGUUAGUUUGACUCGUGGCUCGAGAUGACGCUUGGCGGCGUGCUUAACACAUGCAAAGUCGAAACGAAGCACUUUAAGAGGAUUUACUUCGGUUUUGAAGUCUUAUUUUGACUGAGUGGCGGACGGGUGAGUAACGCGUGGGUAACCUGCCUCAUACAGGGGGAUAACAGUUAGAAAUGGCUGCUAAUACCGCAUAAGCGCACGGUCUCGCAUGGGACAGUGUGAAAAACUCCGGUGGUAUGAGAUGGACCCGCGUCUGAUUAGCUGGUUGGUGAGGUAAGGGCUCACCAAGGCGACGAUCAGUAGCCGGCCUGAGAGGGUGAACGGCCACAUUGGGACUGAGACACGGCCCAAACUCCUACGGGAGGCAGCGGUGGGGAAUAUUGCACAAUGGGGGAAACCCUGAUGCAGCGACGCCGCGUGAAGGAAGAAGUAUUUCGGUAUGUAAACUUCUAUCAGCAGGGAAGAAAAUGACGGUACCUGACUAAGAAGCCCCGGCUAACUACGUG